GACGUAGGGGGCGAGCGUUGUCCGGAAUUACUGGGCGUAAAGGGCGCGUAGGCGGUCAAUCAAGUCAGGUGUAAAAGACCUGGGCUCAACCCGGGGGUAGCAUCUGAAACUGAUUGGCUAGAGGGCAGGAGAGGGGAGUGGAAUUCCCGGUGUAGCGGUGAAAUGCGUAGAUAUCGGGAGGAAUACCAGUGGCGAAGGCGACUCUCUGGACUGGCCCUGACGCUGAGGCGCGAAAGCGUGGGGAGCAAACAGG
rnacentral:rRNA from 1 species